AGCUCUGCGCAGUGGCAGUAUCUUGGCCAAUGAGGUUUACCCAAGGCAUGAUUAUUGCUAAUUGAAAAAAUAAUAAUUAAAAUAAAAUUGAAGGAGAAAUAAAGAUCUUGCCAGAUUUCAUUACCACUAAGGUAG